rnacentral:rRNA from 1 species
UACGUAGGGUGCAGGCGUUAAUCGGAAUUACUGGGCGUAAAGCGUGUGCAGGCGGUCUGUUAAGACAGGUGUGAAAUCCCCGGGCUUAACCUGGGAAUUGCGCUUGUUACUGGCAGACUAGAGUGCGUCAGAGGGAGGUGGAAUUCCACGUGUAGCAGUGAAAUGCGUAGAGAUGUGGAGGAACACCGAUGGCGAAGGCAGCCUCCUGGGAUGACACUGACGCUCAUACACGAAAGCGUGGGGAGCAAACAGG